AGAGGUAUCGUAAUUGAAGAGGUUUGGAAAGACCCACCACAGAAGGUAAUAGUCCUGUAUGUUAAACGAGAAGACUUUAGAUAUGAUCCAGAGUACCACGGGACACGUGAAACCCUGGGGGAAGCAGGAGGGACCACCCUCCAAGGCUAAAUACUACCUAGUGACCGAUAGCGUAUAGUACCGUGAGGGAAAGGUGAAAAGAACCCCGGGAGGGGAGUGAAAUAGAACCUGAAACCCUGCACUUACAAGCUGUGGAAGCACAUUUCUUGUGUGACCGCGUACUUUUUGUAGAACGGGCCAACGAGUUACGUUAAGUG
rnacentral:rRNA from 1 species